GACGUAGGGCGCGAGCGUUGUCCGGAUUUAUUGGGCGUAAAGAGCUCGUAGGCGGUUUGUCGCGUCUGGUGUGAAAAUCCAGGGCUUAACCCUGGACCUGCAUCGGGUACGGGCAGACUAGAGUGCGGUAGGGGAGAUCGGAAUUCCUGGUGUAGCGGUGAAAUGCGCAGAUAUCAGGAGGAACACCGGUGGCGAAGGCGGAUCUCUGGGCAGUAACUGACGCUGAGGAGCGAAAGCGUGGGGAGCGAACAGG
rnacentral:rRNA from 1 species